rnacentral:rRNA from 1 species
UGGGGAAUAUUGGACAAUGGGCGAAAGCCUGAUCCAGCCAUGCCGCGUGUGUGAAGAAGGUCUUCGGAUUGUAAAGCACUUUAAGUUGGGAGGAAGGGCAUUUACCUAAUACGUAAGUGUUUUGACGUUACCGACAGAAUAAGCACCGGCUAACUCUGUGCCAGCAGCCGCGGUAAUACAGAGGGUGCAAGCGUUAAUCGGAAUUACUGGGCGUAAAGCGCGCGUAGGUGGUUUGUUAAGUUGGAUGUGAAAUCCCCGGGCUCAACCUGGGAACUGCAUUCAAAACUGACAAGCUAGAGUAUGGUAGAGGGUGGUGGAAUUUCCUGUGUAGCGGUGAGAUGCGUAGAUAUAGGAAGGAACACCAGUGGCGAAGGCGACCACCUGGACUGAUACUGACACUGAGGUGCGAAAGCGUGGGGAGCAAACAGGAUUAGAUACCCCCGUAGUCCCUGAGCGGGCUGGCAAGGCGCAU